UUCGAGUCAAGAACAAAAUAUUGCAAAUGGUUCAAAUUCUCAACAUCUUCUUGAGCAAAAUAUAAUAACAUAGCACCCAUAAGCAAGAAUGUCAUCGCAACGAAAGACUUCGCUAAAGUUCUCCCGCUUAAUAUAAACAUCGCCAUACCGAAUAGGUUACACCUUGCAUGCUAAUAUGUAUUCUAAGUAUCAUAUUACAUGGAAGCAACAUGACAAAAAUUUUGUCCUGCCGCAGGUUAGCCUUUUACAAUAUUUACAAGGGUUUCUUGUCAUAAAUAUGAGUUUACAAGACUCAGUUAUGUCAAUUAACUGUACAUACUGUUGAUUGCAAUCAACCACGCCGCGCGCCGAAUUCGACGAGUUGUUUGCCUCCUUAGGGAGUGUUCAUUAUUUAUACUCGGGGUUGGUACCGAAGAGAAACUAAUCGAAAAGAGAAAAAAACAACCACCCACCCUUUCGGUCAACCAUUUUUUUCCCUACCCAACUAUUGCAUGACUUGGAUUUUUAUUUUACCCAACCCAAUUUCAAAAUUAUAUACAAGUAUUUUACAUACAUACAUACAUAUAUAUUAUUUAUACAAGCUAGGCCACUGUAGUAUAAACAGUACUAUGCAUAUUUGGUGCACUAACUGAAUGUAAAAUAUAAUCAUUUGUACCUUCACAAGUUCAUAUAUAUAUUAUGUUCCCAAGUUCCUGCAGUCCUAGUAAUGUCUCGUUGUUGUAAUCAGAGGGGUGGGGAGUUGGAGUUUAGUUUUCUUUGUGGGGAAUGAAUAGAUAUUUCCUGGAAUGACCCAUUUUGUUAAAUAAAGGAUUUUCAUUAUUUUGUUCUAUUGAACGUUUGUAUUAAAAAUAAUUUACCCAACCAUAGGCUUUGUUCAAAAAAUAUUUACCCAACCCUUCAUACCCCAGAAAAAUGGCUUACCCAACCCAUUUC